CAGGUGUCAAGAUCCAUUGGUGAUAUUUACUUGAAGAAGCCGGAGUACAGCAUGGACCGAAUAUUUCGGAAAAUUGGCCUUCUUAUUGCAUUGAAGAGGCUAGCUCUUACCGCUGAACCACAAAUUCAUGUUCGCAAGCUCAAACCAAUUCACCACUUCCUGAUAUUUGCCUACGAUGGUCUUUGA
rnacentral:rRNA from 1 species